rnacentral:tRNA from 1 species
UUAUUAAUAGUUUAUAUCAAAACAUUUCAUUGUUACUGAAAAAUUAAAUCCUAUUUUUAAUAAA